rnacentral:rRNA from 1 species
UUCGAUUCUGGCUCAGGAUGAACGCUAGCGGCAGGCUUAACACAUGCAAGUCGAGGGGCAGCGGGAUGUAGCAAUACAUUGCCGGCGACCGGCGGAUGGGUGCGUAACGCGUAUGCAACCUACCUUAUACAGGGGAAUAACCUUUCGAAAGGGAGACUAACACCCCAUAGUAUUGAUUUAAGGCAUCUUAGAUUAAUUAAAUAUUUAUAGGUAUAAGAUGGGCAUGCGUAUGAUUAGCUAGUUGGUAAGGUAACGGCUUACCAAGGCGACGAUCAUUAGGGGUUCUGAGAGGAAGGUCCCCCACACUGGUACUGAGACACGGACCAGACUCCUACGGGAGGCAGCAGUGAGGAAUAUUGGUCAAUGGGCGCAAGCCUGAACCAGCCAUGCCGCGUGCAGGAAAGACGGCCUUAUGGGUUGUAAACUGCUUUUACAUAAGACUAACCGUAUAUUUGCGAAUAUACCUGAAUGUAUUAUGAGAAUAAGGAUCGGCUAACUCCGUGCCAGCAGCCGC